UAUUUUUAUUUAAACACAAUAAAAUAUAUGAAUUUUAUAUUUUUUUUGUCAUAUUAUGACUAGUCAUAUUAAUAUGGCUAAACAACUUUUCCAAUAAAUUAUGAGUUGCACAGCACUUGCCUAUAAAUUGAUUGUGCAACAAUUUUUAGCCCAACAAAUAGUAACACGUGUUGUUCUUCCAUUUGGGACUGUGACAAGACCAUGAAUAUGAUGUAUCUUGGAAGUUUUUAUUACCUUAUUAAAUUGCAGCAGUGAGUCAUCACUUUUGUGUUUCAACCCAUGUGACCUAAAAUUAGAUAACGUGAUGAUGAUAAUACAUAGUAUAAAUAAUUGGAUUAUAGUACGAGCAUCUCUUUGAAUAAGAAUUAAUAAUCAAAUUCAACUAUAUAUAAAUUAAAUUAGAUUGAACGAAGAAGAUUAAUUAGUUUUGAGGGGGGAGGGGGGAUGAAGUAAUUUGUGGUAUUUUUUCUUUGAAUAAUAUAGUCAUUUGCAUGCAUAUAAAUACAUUAUAUUUGCAUAAAUUAAGUAGUUGUGUGAAUGAAGUAUAUCCUACCGAUAUACUUCAUUCUGCGUAUGAGGAGCAGGGUCAGUGUUUGGGGGCGGGCUUCAUUCUGCACAAUGCGGGGGGUGCGGUGUUAUUGUGGCUGCCGGGGCUCAAUCGAUUGAUUUUACGGGGACGGUACUUAUGGGGGAGCUUCAUGCUAUGCUUAUUGCGGUGGGUUUCUGUUUAGCGAAUGAUCUUGGCCCGAUUGUCCUUUUCUCGGACUCUCUUUUGGCGAUUCAUUUACUGCAUGAUAAGUACCAUGGGUCUGAUUCUCUUGGUGAUGAUUUGAUGGACGCUUUUUCCCACACUUGGAAUACUGUGGUUCUUGAAUUUUUCAUGUUCAUCGUUAGGCUAACUUAGACUAAGUUUAUCAGCAACCACCCAACCACCCAACCAUCCAACCAUCUUCAAUAUUUAAUUUAUUUCUCUCUCUUCCACAUCACCAAUAUUCAUCCCAACUCAACCACUUCUAUUUUUGUUGGUUUAUCAAUGACCACCCAACCAUCCAACCACAACAUUAUAUAUAAUUAUUUUGUUAUUAUUUUUAAUCGUAAUAAUUUUAAUAAUAUUAAAUAUAAAUUAAAAUAUUCCAAAAAAAAUUAAAAUGAAAAAAACAAUAACAAACUAAUAAAAAUUUAAAUUACGACAAACU
rnacentral:lncRNA from 1 species